rnacentral:rRNA from 1 species
UUAAGCAUAUAAGUAAGCGGCGGACAAGAAACUAAACAGGAUCCCCCAUCGUAAUGGCGAAUGAGCAGGGAUGAGCUCAGCAUGGAAAUUGGGGCCUUCGGCCUUGACCUGUAAGCUGGUGAGGUAUUGCCAACAGAGGCGCAGAUGUAAGUCUCUUGGAAAAGAGCAUCAAUGAGGGUGAGAGUCCUGCUUGCCAUCUGCAGCCCCCUGUGCACGGUGUACCUACUAAGAGUCACGUUCCUCGGGAUUGGAGCGCAAAGUGGGUGGUAACUUUCAUCUGAAGCUAAAUAUUGGUUUGAGACCGAUAGGAAACAAGUACCAUGAGGGAAAGGUGAAAAGGACUUUGGAAAGAGAGUUAAAAGUGCCUGAAAUUGCUGAAUGGGAAGCGAAUGGAACCAGUGUUCCUUGGUGAGAUUGUCAUAUGUUAUAAUGAUUGGUUGCUGAUUCAGUGCAAGUGUUCUGGUAAGCAUUGAUCUGUAAGUGUGUGGUGUGUCUUGCCUUGAGUGUCAUCAUGGGCUUCUGCAUUAAGACAAUUCAAAAUUCAGGGUAAUAUGUUCGUGAAGGUAUGAAUGUGCUUUGCUAUGUUUAUGCAGAAGCUUCUGUUUAUGUCUGGCUGCUGUGCUUUGCUCCAACCUUGGGGCGGGCAUAUCUUUUGCACAGAUGAUGACUAAAUGAUUCUAUUCGACCCGUCUUGAAACACGGACCAAGGAGUCUAGCAUAUGUGCAAGUUCAUGGGUUGCAAAUCUGUGUGCACAAUGAAAGUGACUGCUGGGAUCUUUGCGCCAGCAACCGACCAAUCAAUUGAGAGAGGUUUGAGUAUGAGCAUUUCUGUUAGGACCCGAAAGAUGGUGAACUAUGCCUGAGAAGGGCAAACUCAGGGGAAACUCUGAUGGAGGCUCGUAGCGGUACUGACGUGCAAA